UAUGCCAACUCAUCACGAGUAUCCAACCCCUCAAUCAGGUAUGACUCAGUGGGGCAGCCUCCUUGAAGAGUUAUGUUGUAGCAAUAUCAUGCUAGAUCUUGGUCUCCACGGACUUCUCCAACUUCAUUAGUUGUCCGAAACUUCAUCCUCAGGUGGUAUGUUGAUACGAUAGCUCGGAACGCAUUUAGACCUGAUCGAUCGAGA
rnacentral:lncRNA from 1 species